AGGCUCACAGUAUAGUUGGUUAUCAUGCCUGCCCAGCAUCCACUUUGUCUCCACAUUGUCUGCCUGCAGGAGGGGUUGGGUUCAAUUCCCAAUGUGUCCA
rnacentral:tRNA from 1 species